UAUAGUUUUUUCACCUGUAUUGUGGAGGUGAACUCAGUGGACAUGAGUUUGAGCAAGCUCCGGGAGUUGGUAAUGAACAGGGAAGCCUGGUGUGCUGCAGCCUAUGGAGUUACAAAGAGUCGGACACAACUGAGUGACUGAACUGAACUGGUGGUGGAAGGUGAAAGGAAGAGGGAGUUGGGAACAGAUGUAGAAUUAGCCAGCCCAGAGUUCCCCUUUAAUGCCGUUUUGUAAGUAGAGUUGGGCUUCCCUGGUAGCUCAGUGGUAAAGAACUCACCUGCCAAUGCAGGAGAUGCAGUUUCAGUCCCUGGAUUGGGAAUAUCCCCUGGAGAUGAAAAUGGCAACCCACUCCCGUAUUCUUGCCUGGGAAUUUCAUGGACAGGGGAACCUGGUGAGCUACAGUCUAUAAGGUUGCAAAAGAGUUGGACAUGACGGAGCAAUUAAACAACAACGAUGGCAUCAGGAAAGAUCAAUUAAACAAGAAGGUGGAGAAUAAAAGGUGGUACGCCUAGAUGGCCAGGUAAAAAUGGAGCACUGACAAGCAAGCCCCAAGGAAAUGUGUAACCUCCACAGGAUGUUUUAUUAUUGGCUUGGGAGGAAGUGAUGAGAAAUUGAAGUACAGAGAUGUUUUUUUGUCCUAUGUGACUAUGGCCAUCCCAGUGCUGGUAAUGAUGGGGUGAAGGUGUAUUCUCAACAGGUAGACUCCAGGGCCUGCCCCACUUCUGUGGAAGUGAUCCUGGCACAGUGAAGCCAUACGAACUGGCAGAGGCUUCGGAUCAGCCAUACCACAAAGGAUGCUGCUUUUCCUAGCAGGGGCCCUAGGGAAUUUUCUGAAAGAACCAGGACUUGACACUGAUACAGGGAAGUUUUGUAUACCCUGAGGUCUUAUCAGUAAGAGAAAUAACUAAAUAGGGCUGAAUAAAGUGAUCGCAUUGGUCCUCUUCUACUCCAAGAUGGUGUGGCUUGAGGAAACACUCCCUGGAGAAGAAUGAUUGAAUCAGAGACUCUGAAAGGAAGGUCACUUUUGUCCUGUUGAGAAGGCCAGGCCAUCACAAAGUGAAGCACUCUAAAGAAGGCAUGUUUUGUAAUUUGCUCUAGUUUGAAUGAGAACAGUUUUCUGAGUGAAAAAUUCAUAAUGGACGUUCUGCUACCUUGUGUAAGUGGGAAAUGGUAAUAAUUGGGUGAUGUGGCUGGAUGGUUAUUUCUUUUCUCUAGGCCUUCAUUCUGACUUAAGCGAGGAUGGUUUUUAAUUAUUUAAGAUAAUGUCAGACCAAGUCGGCUAGCCCUAGUAUGGUCAUUAGUAAUUCUGUUAGAAAAGCUUGCAUCAUUUGCUCCUUGUACUUUCACGUCAAAAAAACCUUUACCCACCAGGUGUUUUAAAUAAUAUAGUUUAGCUCCAAGACCUAUAUACAGUAUUUUCUUUAUGCUAAAUUAGUUUGCUUAAGAAAGGCCUCUGAGAUAGGUAAAGUGAAAAGCAUUGCUCCCAAGAAUCCAACCAACACAACCAUUUAAAACCUAAUAAAAUUGUAUUUGCAUAAGAGAAUGAAUAGUAUCUCAUUAUUCUAAUGAAAGUAUAGUUUGUGUUUUAUUUUACUUAGGUUUGCCUUUCUAUGAGUCAUAAAUAAGAAAUGCCAAGUAAUAAAUACACUGUACAAAAUGCAUUUUAAUAAUCCUAAAGGGUUUCAUUACUGUGACUAUAAUCUGGAAAUGUAAAUUAUGGCUGAUACUCGAGCCCUCAUUUACCGACUUCAGAGGUUCUGGUUUUGCUGCUAAAAUGCUAUAGGAUUAUGCUAACUGUUUACAGAAUAAAUUAACUUGGUAUGGCUAAAUUGAAGUUCCUUGUGUUUGAAUAUCUAAAAGAUAAUAUCAUAGUCUUCAAGGAAUAUAUCAUGAUAUCUAAUGUUGUAUGGUCUUGAUUUUUUUUUAAAAAUGAAAACAAUCCAUACUUCAAGGUAAUAAGCUGGAAAUUUACCCAAGAGAAACCAAGCAGCUGUUUUCAAUAACUCAGGUAAAUUCCAGUCAUGGGAAAACCUCUGUUACUGCCCAAGCUGUUGGAAGUCUUGUGUGUUCAAAGGCCUUGGGACUAGCAAAAACAUUCCUUAUGCAAUCUUUUUCCAACCCAUUGUUCUUAUUUUGUUUCCUGUUCUCUGUAUUUACCUUCCACUGCAAUGAGUCUGGGAUUUUGAAUAUUUAGUGCUCCAGAAAUAAAUUAUAUAGCCCUGUGUAUUUGUAUUAAUGCCUUGCUGUUGAUCUGUAAUGCCCUUUCUAAAACUCCAUGCAGCCACAUCCUCCUUUAAGUCCUGGAUCAAAGGCUACCAUUUCCAUGAAGUGCUUUAGCUCAGAGGUUGACUCUCUAUGAAAGUCCUUUCUAAGUGGUUUACUUUCAUUCACAUGUAACAGGUGUCACAUCAAUCCUUAUUUAUGAUGUAAGAAAUUUUAUUUUUGAUUUAUGAUUUGUUUUUGAUCACACAUUUCCCAUCUUUCAAACUAGACUGUCAUCUCUCUGAGGACAAGGAUCUUGUCUUAAAUUUAUAUGUAUGAUCUAGAUUGCUUAGCAAGUGCUUUACGUGCAUUUGGGAUUCAAUAAAUACUUGAGUAAUUGAACAUUUAGUAUAUAAUUGAGUGGAUUUCUAACAAACUGGUCUAGUCCAGCAGAUCAU
ensembl:lncRNA